rnacentral:rRNA from 1 species
UGGGGAAUAUUGCACAAUGGGCGCAAGCCUGAUGCAGCCAUGCCGCGUGCGGGAAGAAGGCCUUCGGGUUGUAAAGCACUUUUAGCGGGGUGGAAGGCGGUGAGGUUAAUAACGUCAUCGAUUGACUUUACCCGCAGAAGAAGCACCGGCCAACUCCGUGCCAGCAGCCGCGGUAAAACGGAGGGUGCAAGCGUUAAUCGGAAUUACUGGGCGUAAAGCGCACGCAGGCGGUCUGUGAAGUCGGAUGUGAAAUCCCCGGGCUCAACCUGGGAACUGCAUUCGAAACUGGGAGGCUAGAGUCAUGUAGAGGGGGGUAGAAUUCCAGGUGUAGCGGUGAAAUGCGUAGAGAUGUAGAAGAAUACCGGUGGCGAAGGCAGCCCCCUGGACAAAGAAUGACGCACAGGAACGAAAGCGUGGGGAGCAAACAGG